rnacentral:lncRNA from 1 species
GGGCAGUGGAGAAAGAGAAAGGUUUGAAAGCUUGCUGGUUCUCUCGGCAGCCACCAUCUUGUCAACCACAUAUGCUGCCGUGCAGGUCACUCUGCCGGUAAGGAGCCUGGCCACCAUCCAUUCUGUAUCAUGCUUUCUCUGCAGUCCACAUGAUCACUGCAGCUCCCUCAAGUGCCCAGGGCUGGCUGGGAAGGUGGGUUGUUUGCUUUCUAACAGGCCAGGUUCUGCUUCUCUCACUUCAACUCGUAGGUGAGAUGCUGACCUCCAGAGUUCCUGGAACAUAGGAUUCUCUGCUCUGAGCACGGAUGCAUCCAUGUGAGCAGUACAGGCCUAUUUGUUGUACAAGAAGUGACUGCUGCAUUAUGAAAUACGGCUCAUUUCUAGCUAAUAAAUUUUCUUCUUACAGCGGUAACCAAAGCCAACAAAUUAUAUUGAGAUCAGAAAUAAAUACAUCCUCUAGGAAAAAAAGAUCUUUGUCUCUGGGUGGACCAGCUGUGUGGUCAAAGCUGAAGAUGAUAUCAUGA